GGAAACUGGACCGACCUUCGGGAGCUUGUACAGGUGCUGCAUGGCUGUCGUCAGCUCGUGUCGUGAGAUGUCGGUUAAGUCCGCUAACGAGCGCAACCCUCGCUGUGUGCUACAAGUGUCACACGGAACUGCCGGUCAUAAACCGGAGGAAGGUGGGGAUGACGUCAAGUCAGCAUGGCCUUUAUAUCCUGGGCUACACACACGCUACAAUGGGAAGGGACAAUAGGUUGCGAAGCCGCGAGGCGGAGCCAAUCCAGCAAAACUUCCCUCAGUUCAGAUUGCAGGCUGCAACUCGCCUGCAUGAAGUUGGAGUUGCUAGCAAACGCAGGUCAGCCAUACUGCGUUGAAUACGUUCCCGGGGCUU
rnacentral:rRNA from 1 species